rnacentral:rRNA from 1 species
UACAGAGGUGGCAAGCGUUGUUCGGAAUUACUGGGCGUAAAGGGCGCGUAGGCGGCCAUCUAAGUCAGACGUGAAAUCCCCCGGCUUAACCUGGGAACUGCGUCUGAUACUGGACGGCUUGAGUAUGAGAGAGGGAUGUAGAAUUCCAGGUGUAGCGGUGAAAUGCGUAGAUAUCUGGAGGAAUACCGGUGGCGAAGGCGGCAUCCUGGAUCAUUACUGACGCUGAGGUGCGAAAGCGUGGGGAGCAAACAGG